UGACUGCUUCCCUGAUAACAUGCCCUCACUGUUUAUUAAGCAUGGCCGGGCUGCCUGCAGAUAAUACUAACAGGCAACCAGGCAGAAAGUCGUUCAGACACAUUCGGCCAAAUCCUCAGCUGAUGCAAAUUGGCACGAAUGCAAUGGAGUGACCUCGAUUUACACCAGUUGAUGGUCUGCCCCACGGUGUGUGGAGUCCCUUUGGCGUUGUGGCGAGGGCCGGGGAAGGACGUCACAGAGCCGGAAAUAAAACCACAGCUUGUUUUUUGGGGCAAACCAUCUGCUGACAAACCCAGGAAAGAGCAACAUUCCCAUCUGAGCGAGAUGCUCAUUUCUAGGCCAAGGGGGAGUGUGAAUGCUCAUGUCGGAGACUUCCCAUCCAUCUGGCCUGUUAAAUCAGACGUUGCAGCACAGUCCAAGAAAGGCUGUCGGGACGCUGACGCUUCUUUGUGUGAGGUGAAAUGCUGAAGAGAGUUAUCAAUGUUGUUGCCUCCGUAACCAGAGAAAACACCUUUGUGGCCUCUGCAUUUGGGGACAGCAGGCCAAGGAAGGAAUUAUUCUGGCUUUCAUUUUCUAAGUACAAUUUUUAAAGCAGUUCAGUCACCUUUUGAAAUGCAUUUCCCUGAGGGUUAUCCCUAGAGAAAGGUCCUUCCAGCUAUGAGGAUGGAGACAUGGGGUCUGGUAGCGAAAGAGGCUGUACGCUGUUUCUUCUCACCUCUGUUUGCUGAAAUGCACAUUUUCCUGGUCUCCCGUCUUCCCCCUUUUGCUGUCUGAGGACUCUGUUUACAACCUAUAUGUAACUUGAGCAAACCACAAGAACAUUGGAACGACCAGACUGGAGCCAUCUAAGCCAGCAUCCCGUUUCUGACAAUGGCCAGUCGCAGAUGCUUGUCAAGAAGGUGGAGAAACCACCCAUGAGCAAAUGUGGGGUUAUCUGGCCUGCAUACAGGUCUUAUCCUGACCUCUGAUGGAGAUUGGUUUGCGCUCAGCUGCCCAAGGUCUCGGAGCGAUUAGCCAGGCUUUUCCAAUGCAAUGCAACCAAGUCAUUUGGCAGUCUGCCGGUGUUUUCUGGAGUACAAGUGCAGCCUUGCUGGAUACGUACAACUCUUAUGGUUUGCUCUCCUUUAUGAGAAAGGAGACGACACCUCCAGUGGUGCAGCCCCCACAGAUUUAAACAGCCAUGUAACACCAGACAUCUUCUCUCAGGGUACUGGUAAAAGAAGGCGCCAUCCUACAGCAAGGUGAAGCAAAGGAGCUCUCUGGAGUUCCUGACCAUGGGCAUGUGAGAGAAUUGUGCCGUCUUCAGAAAGUAGAGUGAACUUCUAGGGGGCUCCUCACUGCCAUCCCCAGAGGGUUUUGGAAAGUGGACCAGGCUCUCCUUUCCAAGAAUAAUCACCUCUCUCAUCGGUGGGCAUGGUGGUAUCUAUCUGCUAAUGCACAUCCUGUCUGCAUAUUGAGCAGGAAGCAAAGCUCCAUCAGGACCACACACUGAUCACUUGAUUUAUUCCUCUCACUUCCCGCCCCCAUAUGUGGCCAGACAGCAGAACCUCCAGAUUAAUCGUGGAGUGGCCUUUUCAUAGAGCUUCCUGUCUGCUCGCUCCUCACAAUGCCCCUACUGUCUGGCUUGAUUGCAUCGUACACGCUUACUGGAAUCAUCUUUCCAUUCUGAGCCAGGCUUUUCCCCCAGCUGGUGUAGCCAUCAGAUCUCUCUGAUGUUUGUUUUGUGAUCCCAGUUUGGAUCCCAAAGUUGUGCAAAAAAGGAACAGCUGCAGCUUGUGUUAUUUUGGCCAAUAGAGUUUAUUCAAUGACACGUCUGCAAUCCCAGUUUUAGAUUUAAACAAAAAAAAAAAAGAUUGCAAUGGGGAGGUAAUUAUUAGCUUAAUUGGCUUCUUUGAUAGCUUCAUUGAGAUAGCUUCUUUAGUACAUUUAAUGACAAGGAAAUUCAGUUAGUAAAUGGACAACAUUAGACACUGGGUGUCUAUCUAGAGUCAAAACUAGUAAAUUAGAAACACUACUUUCAUUUGAAAUGAGGCAGUGUCGUGUAGUGGGUAGAGCACAGGAUUAGGGGUCAGGAGAUCCAGCUCUGCCACUAAGCUGCUGUGUAACCUGGGACACGUCACUUCCUGUCUUUGUUUCUCCUCCCACCUUAUUGAAGUUCCUUCGGGCCGGAACUGGUUUUAUUGCACCUAGCACAGUGCGGCAUGGAUCUCAGAUAGAGCCUUCAGGCACCACCAUAAUGAUAAUAAAGCUGGAUAAUUUCUAUUAUUGCUUUUCCUUUGCAUUUAUACAACCGCCAAGUUUUGCAAAUUCACACACUAGCUCAUUUCAGAUGAAGAUAGUGGAACUGUGCAGGCAGAGAUGGACUUUUUCCAGCAGCUUUGAAUAAAUUCUUUGAGUGUUUUGUGCCGUACCAAUGACCACCAUAUUUGAACAUCACCCUGUAUUUGGGUUUUCCCCCCCACUUACUUUUGUGCCAAUAUGAACUACAAAUGAAGAUUGCAUGUCCAAAUGGUUGACUGCUUUGCGUUGAGAAAGAAGUGGGAGAUUUCCUUUUAAUGUAGACAUGAAUUUGUUAAUCACAUGAAGGCUAACAUGGAAAAACCAGGUGUUAUUAAACAGUAGUCGGUGCAAGUGAAGAUGUGUUUGCUAGACCUAUCAAGACUAAUUAUGUAGUUGCAUUCAAUGGAGCGAGUGCCUGUCAGCACAACAAAGCCACAGCUUACAUAUAUCAUACACAGUCCUACAGAUCAGUUACUUGGAGAAGACUGUGUAGGACCAACCAACUAUCAAACAUACUGAAGAGUCCAGUUUUCCACUGUCCAGUGAGAGAAUCCAAUAUUUCUGAUACCCAUUUUCCUGAGGGAGGUCUCAUUUCACAGGUUUUGAUUUUGUUGAUUUGCUGUUGCCAGAGGGAACCUCUAUUGACUUAGAAGUAUUUUUCCUUUGCAGACCAACAAAAAAAGAAACCUACCACAUGCCACAGUGCGUGGUUCUGCAAAUACAAUUGCAUCAAGAAACCAUUGGAAAGACCACAUGCUUUGGGAACCAUCAAAUGGGUUCCACUUUAACAAAUACUUUGCUGUAUUAAGGAAAUUAGUUUUGAGAAUGGACUUCAUAACUAUGAUGCAUUCUUCCUUGGACCAAAUGGCAUGCAGAGGAGAGGAUAGUGCAAUAUUACUAGCGUGGAAAUAUCAGACAUCCAUUGAUGGGCUGGGAUGGAGGUGAAAUACCACAGGCUGUCAACACAAGAUAACUGGUUUUGAAUGCCAGGUGGCGUAAGGAAUCUGGCAGCAAGUCACAGGCACAGUUGUGGCAGUCUAGGUGGCCGGUAAUGAAUGACCUGACGAGGUUGUUCUUCUCGCUCUCAUUCCAUUUUGGAAAGGGCUGCACCGUCUCAACGGCUUGCAGCCUGACAUCUUCCGUUCCAAGAUGCAUGCCACCAUGUGUAUCUGCAAUGGCAGGUCAUUGGAAGCUUGGCAGCAAAUGACACAAAACCAUCUGGGCCACCUUUGUUGUUAUGGCAAGUGUUAUUUCCAUUGCAGUAGCACCUAACACUUUAGUUAGGGGUCAGGCCCCGCCCCCUUCUACUAAGCACUGCACGACAAAACAGUCUUGUCCGGAGAGCUUGCAAUGAAGGAUUUAACCAGAGCAUAACAGCUGGCAGGGGGAUGGGUGGGAAGGAUACAGUUCUAGCCAAGGCAGAUGCACAUGCAUAAAUUAAUUUUAACAGGGGUCUUAGGAGUCACAGCUGUGUGUGAAGCGUGUGGUGGAAUGCUUUUAUGCAGCUGAGCUGGAAACACAUAGGCCCUUGUAGGAGGGGCAACCGGGACAGGUAAGUGACAUGAGAAUUUGAGCUGGGUGGGUGAGGAAUCAGAAGACAAAUGAUGAGGCGUAAAGCCCUUGGCCUUUCCCCAAGGACUGGCCAGGGGCUCUUGACAGCAACAUAACACGGGAGAAGGAUGACAGACCUGAAUCAGCUGUAGCAGGCUGUCCAGCAUGCCCAGAUUGGUGUGUUUCCCAUAGACACACUAAAAUGCUAAUAUUUAAUGUAUUAGCUGGUGCAUUGUAGGGCAUUGCUUUGCUACGCUUGCAGCCCGAGCUGGCUGUUAAAAGGCUUCCUCAUUCCUCCAGGCCCCAUUCGUGCAUUCAGGGUUUAACCGGAGGAAGCUCAACAGCCUACAAGCCUUACAAGGAAGCGGUAUUCUGCACAGUACCUCCAGUUACACGCUUGCCAAGAGCGAGAGCGCCCCUCACACUCAGGGAAAGCAAACGCCGACAAGCGUAUGGACAGGAACAGGCCUCCUUACGCAAUGACUUUGGCUUUCCCCCUCUCCAGAUUAGUUACUAUUUCACACGCAGUCGCAGAUGCAGCCCAGAUCCAGGUGCCGUACGGACGCAGCAACAGUCCCUGCCCCAGGGAGCUCACGGUCUAAAAAGGCAGAGAGCGGGAUCAGGGUUAGGACUAACAUACCACAUUCACGCUCUUAAGUCCCCUCCUCUACCUGGCCUUACUGCACAUGGUAUUUAAUCCAGCAUCUACCAGAGCAAGAUCUAUCGGAUCACGCAUGCCACUAAUUGCUCGUGGUAUUGCCACCCCCUUUUGAAGGGGUUUGAACACGCGUAGAUUCGAUGCACGACGGGUGGUGCUGGUGGAAAAAAAUCAAAAAGCUUAGCACCGCUUGGGGCUUAGCUCAUAGGUCUGGUGCUUCCAUGAUGCUCAUCCUGUGAUCCGUCACUGGGGAGGCAAUGCAAGAUGGAGAUCUUGUAACUGCCCUGAUCCUCCUCUUGGGCAGGAGAAUUGACUAGCAGGCCACGUUCCUGGCGAGUCACUCAGGUGAUCAAACUACGGGAGAAGACCCUGGAGCUUUCCCUUUUAGAGAGAGAGGCUGGCCUGGGGUGGGGAAUUGCUUUACUUACCCCUGAGGAGCACUCCGUCUGAAGCGCUCUAAAGUCAGAGAACUGGCCUGAAUUUGCAGAGGCAUCCCUGGCAAAGUCUGUGCUGGGGGGUGGUGUGGAUAUGGAACCUCCAUCCCGACUCAAGAGCCCCUUCUUCUGGCAGAGAACAACUGCAGCAGAGCUCCCUUUUGGCACCUCCGGAGAGGGGCAUCUCUUAGGGUACGUCUAUACUUACCUCCAGGUUCGGCGGUAAGCAAUCGAUCUUCUGGGAUCGAUUUAUCGCGUCUUGUCUAGACACGAUAAAUCGAU